rnacentral:rRNA from 1 species
GACGAACGCUAGCGGCAGGCCUAAUACAUGCAAGUCGAACGGUAAGGUCUCUUCGGAGAUACACGAGUGGCGCACGGGUGCGUAACACGUAUGCAACCUACCUAUCAGAGAGGGAUAGUCGCGGGAAACUGCGAAUAAUAUCUCAUAUGCUUACGGAUUGGCAUCGAUCUGUGAGGAAAGCUCCGGCGCUGAUAGAUGGGCAUGCGUCCCAUUAGCUAGUUGGUAAGGUAACGGCUUACCAAGGCUUCGAUGGGUAGCUGGUCUGAGAGGAUGAUCAGCCACACGGGCACUGAGACACGGGCCCGACUCCUACGGGAGGCAGCAGUAAGGAAUAUUGGACAAUGGGGGCAACCCUGAUCCAGCCAUGCCGCGUGGAGGAAGACGGUUCUCUGAAUUGUAAACUCCUUUUAUGUAGGGAUAAUAAUGUUCUAUAGGGACAGAUGCAGGUACUACAUGAAUAAGCACCGGCUAACUACG